AUACAGGGAGUGCAGAAUUAUUAGGCAAGUUGUAUUUUUGAGGAUUAAUUUUAUUAUUGAACAACAACCAUGUUCUCAAUGAACCCAAAAAACUCAUUAACCCCUUAAGGACGGAGCCAAAUGUACACAUUGUGAACAAAACAAAAUGUAAACAAAACCUGGCAUUUGCGCUACAUGUCUGUCCAACCGUAAUACACCUCUUUCAUAGUAAAUGCACCCACACUUAUUAUAUAUCAUUUUAUUCAGGGGAAACAGGG